rnacentral:sRNA from 1 species
GCCGAGCAGACGGACGAGGAGCUGCGGGAGGAGAUCCACAAGGCAAACGUGGUGUGUGUGGUGUAUGACGUCUCUGAGGAGGCCACCAUUGAGAAGGUGAGCCCUCAGUGCAGACCCCAACAGCAGAGACACAGUGGCCGGUGGUGGCCCAGGUGGACCCUCACCCAACCCGUGGCCAGUGCCAUCGCUCACAGCAUUUUGGGGAGCCUGACGUGGAGUCGCCUGACGUGGAGUCACCCAGCCCUCUCCUGUGAUCCCACUUCCCCUGAGAGGGUCUGGGACGUCCCGCAGUCUGAGCCAUUUAGGCCGGCAGCCCUCUUUCUUCCCCAGUUUCCAAACCCCCGGGGGGGACCCGCAGAGGGCCUGCGUUGGGGGCGGCCCUAGGCUUGGGCCCCAGUGACUUGGGGGUGUUUGGGAGCCAUUGGGGUCAGACCGAUGAGGCUGCACCUGCUGCCUGCCUUCUCCCACCAGCUUUGUUCCUGUGGCCGGGACUUGGGCCCUCAGUGGGCCUUGACCUCCCCCUUCUGCUCUCCCCCAGCCAGGCUCGUGCUCCAGCUGGGAGCCAUGUGCCCGCGGGCAGCCUCACUUCACAGCCAGGCUUUGCUUUUCAGAUUCGAACUAAGUGGAUCCCACUGGUGAAUGGGGGGACCACGCGGGGGCCCAGUGGGCAACAAGUCAGACCUGCGGUCGGGGAGCUCCAUGGAGGCCGUGCUCCCCAUCAUGAGCCAGUUUCCCGAGAUUGAGACCUGCGUGGAGUGUUCGGCCAAGAACCUGAGGAACAUCUCAGAGCUGUUCUACUACGCCCAGAAGGCCGUCCUGCAUCCCACAGCCCCCCUCUAUGACCCUGAGGCCAAGCAGUUGAGGCCUGCGUGCGCCCAGGCGCUGACGCGCAUCUUCAGGCUCUCAGAUCAGGACCUGGACCAGGCGCUCAGUGACGAAGAGCUCAACGCUUUCCAGAAAUCCUGCUUUGGGCACCCCCUGGCCCCGCAGGCCCUGGAGGACGUGAAGACGGUGGUGUGCAGGAACGUGGCGGGCGGCGUGCGGGAGGACCGGCUGACCCUGGAUGGUGAGGCCGGGUGCCCGCCUGUGCCUGGGGAGUGUGGGGAGGGGGCUGUGCCUGGUGCUCCCCCUGCUCUGUCUCGGUGCAGGUUUCCUCUUCCUGAACACGCUCUUCAUCCAGCGCGGCCGGCACGAGACCACCUGGACCAUCCUGCGGCGCUUCGGCUACAGCGACGCCCUGGAGCUGACUGCGGACUAUCUCUCCCCUCCGCUCCGCGUGCCCCCCGGCUGCAGCACGGAGCUCAACCACCUUGGCUACCAGUUUGUGCAGAGAGUGUUUGAGAAGCACGACCAGGUGAGAGCAUGGCGAGUCCCCUGCCCCUGCCCCCGCCCCCUCCCCGGCACACACAUCACCACAUCCCUCCUUCUGCAGGACCGCGAUGGCGCCCUCUCGCCCGUGGAGCUGCAAAGCCUUUUCAGUGUGUUCCCAGCAGCCCCCUGGGGCCCCGAGCUCCCACGCACAGUCCGCACAGAGGCCGGCCGGUUGCCCCUGCACGGAUACCUCUGCCAGUGGACGUAAGUGCGGCCCACACCAUGCCCGCCUGCCGCACCACCCUCCCCACCAUAACACUGUGCCUGCCUCCCGCCCACCCCCAGCCUGGUGACCUACCUGGACGUCCGGAGCUGCCUUGGACACCUAGGCUACCUGGGCUACCCCACCCUCUGUGAGCAGGACUCCCAGGCCCAUGCCAUCACAGGUAGGCACCCACCCUCCCUGGGCCUGGGCCCAGCAUCCUGGCAGCUGCCCUAACCCGUGUCUAUCCUCACAGUCACCCGUGAGAAGAGGCUGGACCAGGAGAAGGGACAGACGCAGCGGAGCGUCCUCCUGUGCAAGGUGGUGGGGGCCCGUGGAGUGGGCAAGUCUGCCUUCCUGCAGGCCUUCCUCGGCCGCGGCCUGGGGGUAAGCACCCUAGACUCCCCCACCACCCCAGGGGCUCCAGGGGCAGGGCAGGGCAAUCUGGGGGGGCACUGCAGCCAGCGAGUGUCAGGACUUCACCUCCCUCAGCACCAGGACACGAGGGAGCAGCCUCCCGGCUACGCCAUCGACACGGUGCAGGUCAACGGGCAGGAGAAGUACUUGAUCGUGAGUGCUGGGGCGGCACGGCCUGUGCCCGAGGGUGGACCCGGGGACACCCAGGCCUGCCUGGCAGAUCUGGCCCAGCAUGGCCCUAGGGGGACCGAGCCCCAGGGACCCUUCCUAAGGCCACUGUCUGUCCCAGCUCUGUGAGGUGGGCACAGAUGGUCUGCUGGCCACAUCGCUGGACGCCACCUGUGACGUUGCCUGCUUGAUGUUUGAUGGCAGUGACCCAAAGUCCUUUGCACAUUGUGCCAGCGUCUACAAGCACCAUUACAUGGACGGGCAGACCCCCUGCCUCUUUGUCUCCUCCAAGGCCGACCUGCCCGAAGGUGUUGUGGUGUCUGGCCCAUCACCAGCCGAGUUUUGCCGCAAGCACCGGCUACCCGCUCCCGUGCCGUUCUCCUGUGCUGGCCCAGCCAAGCCCAGCACCACCAUCUUCACCCAGCUCGCCACCAUGGCCGCCUUCCCACAUUUGGUCCACGCAGAGCUGCAUCCCUCUUCCUUCUGGCUCCGGGGGCUGCUGGGGGUUGUCGGGGCCGCCGUGGCCGCAGUCCUCAGCUUCUCACUCUACAGGGUCCUAGUGAAGAGCCAGUGAGGCCCCUGGUACCCAAGCCCCCUCCCCUGACCUGGGUGUGGCUCGCUGCUGGGGCUCUGCAGGGGCAGCACAGCUGGGGUGCAGGCCAGGCUGCCACUCUGGGAACGCCUUUGCGCCGGGACUUUUUGUUUCUGAAGGCAGUCAAUCUGCAGCGGGGCCUCAUGCUGCCAUGCACUGCCCUGGCUCCUGCCAGACCCCCAGGGUGGGCCGUGGCAGGUGGCUGAGCAGGAGCUCCCAAGUGCCGGCCACUGCUGUCAGGGAUUGCCCACCUCUGGGCAUCGUGUGUGGGGCCGGGGAGCACAGGUGUGGGAGCUGCUGACCCCAGACCCAGAAUUCUCAGGGCUCUACCCCCCUUUCCUGGUCCUGGGUGGCCAGUGGGUAUGAGGAGGGCUGGAAGGCAGAGCUUUGGGCCAAAAGCAGGCGUUGGGGGGUCCCCCCUCAAGUUUGGAGCCGUUUCCGUGGUUGUAGCAGAGGACCGGAGGUUGGGUUCCUGAUUAAACUUCACUGUGUCUUUUCU